UACGGAAGGCAGCAGUGGGGAAUAUUGCACAAUGGGCGCAAGCCUGAUGCAGCCAUGCCGCGUGUAUGAAGAAGGCCUUCGGGUUGUAAAGUACUUUCAGUCGUGAGGAAGGUGUUAAGGUUAAUAACCUUAGCAAUUGACGUUAGCGACAGAAGAAGCACCGGCUAACUCCGUGCCAGCAGCCGCGGUAAUACGGAGGGUGCGAGCGUUAAUCGGAAUUACUGGGCGUAAAGGGCACGCAGGCGGUUAAUUAAGUUGGAUGUGAAAUCCCCGGGCUUAACCUGGGAAUGGCAUUCAAGACUGGUUAGCUAGAGUCUUGUAGAGGGGGUAGAAUUCCAUGUGUAGCGGUGAAAUGCGUAGAGAUGUGGAGGAAUACCGGUGGCGAAGGCGGCCCCUGGCAAAGGACUGACGCUCAUGUGCGAAAGCGUGGGGAGCGAAACAGGGAUUAGAUACC
rnacentral:rRNA from 1 species